rnacentral:rRNA from 1 species
GAGUUUGAUCGUGGCUCAGGAUGAACGCUGGCGGCGUGCCUAACACAUGCAAGUCGAACGGAGUUUAUGAGGAAGAAGCUUCGGCGGAAUUCUUAUAAACUUAGUGGCGGACGGGUGAGUAACACGUGGAGAACCUGCCUCUUACCGGGGGACAGCAGUUGGAAACGACUGAUAAUACCGCAUAAGCGCACGAGACCGCAUGGUCCUGUGUGAAAAGAUUUAUCGGUAAGAGAUGGCUCCGCGUCUGAUUAGCCAGUUGGCGGGGUAACGGGCCCACCAAAGCGACGAUCAGUAGCCGGCCUGAGAGGGUGAACGGCCACAUUGGGACUGAGACACGGCCCAGACUCCUACGGGAGGCAGCAGUGGGGGAGUAUUGCACAAUGGAGGAAACUCUGAUGCAGCGACGCCGCGUGAGUGAGAAGUAUUUCGGUAUGUAAAGCUCUAUCAGCAGGGAGAAAGACCUCGAAGAGGGGAUGACGGUACCUGAGUAAGAAGCCCGGCUAACUACGUGCCAGCACG